rnacentral:lncRNA from 1 species
GAUCCUCAAACUUGCAAUUCGCGAGAUGAAAGGUGUUCGCCUAGCUUCUUCAAUGACUCGAUUGAUGUCUGGCUCCGAACUUGUAGCUUGAUGAAAUUUUGAUUUCAUUUCUUUUAAUUCCUGGCUAACCUUCCUCAUGGUCUCGAACUGGUCGAGGUUCUCCUGCUCGUAUUGAGCUGCAAGUUGUUCUUCAUCUCCGAGCUGUGUCUCUUCUUCCAACGUCUGAGCUACAUUAUUAGUAGCACCGGGAGUUGUUUGUCCGCUGGUUUCAUUUCGUGUAGCGGAACUUGGCGAGUUGAAUAUCCCUCUUCGGAUUCCCACAAGGUUUCCUGCACUUAAAGAGCGAACACGAGUUUGUAUAGUGUUGACGUUUUGACUAAGAGAUACCUGGGAUGUUUGCAACGUAUCGACGGCCUUUUCCACAUCCGAGAACUUUUGUGAUAUAUCCGACAUGGUUUGCUGCAUAGCUUUGAGGGUUUCGGCCAAUGAUGUCUCAACGGCGUCUCCUCCGGAUAUUGUUGCUUAUCUCGGAAGUGUAAUAAAGAAAAAAUCUGACCACUCAAGAAUCCUCUUUCCCCACAGACGGCGCCAAAAUGUUGAUGUCGGAUUCACACACUCAAGUAUUUUUAUUAGUAGGAAAGAUUAUUCUUGAGGGACAAAAAAUAAGAACGCAAAAGGCUUAUGAAUACAAAAAUUGCUAUCGUAUUUCUUGCUCAAAAGAGAGAUGUGUCCUUUACAUGGCCAUUGGCCUCCAUAUUUAUACAUAGAGAAACGACAUUAAAAUGAGUAAUUAAGUACAAUUAUUCCUUCUUAAAUGUGUCCGUUUUGAUUCCUUGACUUUAAUGCUCAACGUUUGAAUUUGAGUUGACUCUGAUCUUCAUGGGCCUCGCCUUUUUGGCCCAAGUGUCCUUGAACCGACUUACCCGUGUCUUCUACACCGAACUAAUGUCACAGUGCAGUCACUUCGGAUUCUCGAAGUGGUGACAACCACUUCAACCGUUCCUUCGGCUUCAUGGGUCCAAUGGGCUUUAUCCUUUAUGGGCCAUUAUCUUGACUACGUGGCAAUCUUUGGUUGGUCUCGGACUUCUGGUGCGGGAUCCGACACCAACAAGUAGAAUCUUUUCUCCGGCAGCAGCGGUGUGGUAUCUCUUCCUCUCGAUGUAGCUGUGGAUCCGGAUUGGCGGUAGAAAAGUUAUGUUCUCGAGCCACUGGUAGAGGACGCCGGAAGGUUGAGGGACAGAGACUCUCGUGGCUCAGCCGUCAAUUUGGCCGCUGCGGCUACAGCGGAAGUCGAGGGAAGAAAGGUGGGUUAUGCUGUUCGAUUGGUGGUUAGCUAUAGAUCCUGUGGAUCUUAGAUGGCGGUCGUGGAGGUCGGCUUCAGUGGAUCUGUUUGAGCCAUCGGUCCCUGGAUUCGCCACGAUUUGUCUCCACUAGUCUGAAUCGAAGGGUUCUUGCUUGGAGGGGUAGAAAUGUUCAGAUCUAGAAGAGAGGGGAUAGAUCUGGUUUGUCAGGUUGCUAGGUCGGGACCUGACAACGUAGUGCCGGUGUAUCGGAAGGUUAAGCAUUUCGGGAGAUCUGUAGCGGGUCAGGUGGCUCGUAGGAAAGGGAUCGAUGAUGGAAACCGGUUUCUUCCGUCGUUGAUUUUCGAUCCAGCGUUGCUACCACGAAGCCGUGGAGCUUGAAUCCGCCGGAACUAGUGCUUCCGACUCUCUGCCCACCGGGAAACAAUAGAAUCCGAUCUUCUUUUUUUUUCCUGGCACCGAUUUCUGGUCUCUCCAUUUUGUAACUGGACUAUUGUUGUAAUUGCCCAAACUCAUUUGCUUUUUGGAAAGUCCAUAAAAUUCUGGUUAAAAAAUAAAAAUAAAAAAAAACCGGAGCUAACGUGGUAGUAGUCUUUUAGUCAUAUUAUUCGUGAAAUCAAUUAUAAAAGCGAAAAUUUAUUAAUAACGUUCCUACAAAAAUUAAAUUUUAAUAUCUAAUGAGUAAAAAUGUCAAAAUUUAGUUGAUAUAGUUUAUUAUUAAUAUUCGUAAAAAUAUUCUCUAUCUACAUAUCUAGAACAUAAAUCUGUAAACUUGUUAUUUCAUAGAAUGGUUGAUAAAAUGAAGUUAUUGCCAAUAGUAUAAAAAUUGAUUAUAUCAAAAUUUUCUUUUCUUUUUCAGUGGUAAGAUAAAUAUUUUGACAAUCAAUCAAGUAAUUUCUUUUUAAUUUAAAUGUUUGGUUACCAGAAAUUUUUUUUUUGUAGUAGUAGUAGUAAAAUUCUCUAUAUUAUCUUUUGUUCGUCAAGAUGUUUAAUUAAAAGCUUUUUAAUCAAAAACAACAUGUUAAUUAAAAGUUUAAAACCUGAUUAAAAACCCUACUCCAAAAUUAUUAAUGUUCGAGGGAGGGAAAUUGGCCUGCGCAGCAGAAUGGGCCUUUUAUAACAGAAAUAGCACUGUGUUCAUUUUUUGUCGUUUUCCCCAAAGUUGCGCUUCGCUUGGUUCCGACGAAUCCACCGGCGACGAGCGAAAUUUCGAGAAUCGCGGCCGCGAGAAGUGCAAGGUCAGUGAAUACGAAGAUGACUAAAGAUGGACUCACAUUUCGGAUGUCGAGAGAAUCGGAGUCGGCUUCUCGACUUAAAUUCUUCAUCUCCGAUAUGCUUCCUCGCUUCACUGACGAUUACUCCGACGACCUCGCUGUUCGUCAUCUUCUUCUUUUUUCUUCAUCUUCCUCUUUGUUCUAGAGACGAUUCUUAGGUUUUUAGUUCGAUUUCCUUGGUUUUUACUUUUGCUCUUGUACGCACUGUUCUCUGCUCACAGAAGUAACAUUAUCUUCGUCGUCUCUCUUCAUGUGAAUUUUAUCCGACGGAUUUGAUAUCGGUGCUUGUCUUUUACUUUUUCCCUUAUUGUUUUGAUUGUUCGAUGGAAAUUUCUCUUGUAUGAGGUUAUGUUGCAGAAAUAUCUGAGUUACAGGAUCUGUAAUAGGUCUAUGUGUAUGUAAUCACUUUGUUUGGACUGAUUUCAUCUUGUUGAAUUGUAUAUUUGAUCUGUGGGAGCAGAAAUUGCAGGUUGAUGACUGAUUUUGUUUAAGAAUCAGGUGAUUUUCGUGUUUACUGAUGAAUCAGAUUGUUUCAGGAGUAUGUUACGGUGCUUGUUUGUAAUGGAAAGAAUCAGAGACAGGUAAGCGAAGAUUUGGAGGCAUUUCUUAGGGAGCAAUCUUGGAAAUUUGUUACCUGGUUUGUUAUUUGCAUCCCUUCUUUGUUGGUUUGAUACAGGUAUCGGUGACUAACAUGCGAUUUUGAUGUGUGUGUUUUCUUUUCAGCUUAUGGGAGCUUCUAGUGAACUACUUCUCUCAAAUUAAUUCUGCUUCUGGACCUAAGACUGCUGUUGACUUUGGCGUUAAUGAUACUCUAAUUGAACAAGGUUUAAGCUCCAAAAAGCAUGAUGAUUAUGAUUGCAAAGCUGCCGGUGCUACUAAUUCGAUGAAUGUAAGACUAGGACAUAUGUUUCUUUCAUAUGUGUGAAUGUUGCACCAGUUUUUGGUCACGGACUUAAUGUGAAUGGCUUUGUAGGAACAGCUGAUAUCAGUUACUGCUCCCAUAGAAGACAUCGAGGCUCCUGUAUCACCAAAAGUUGAAAAAAUGAAGGUGUUACGACAAGAGCUCAUUGAUAGCCCUUGUAGAAGGGCACAACGAAGAAAGAAAGAAGAUUGGAACUCGUCUGGUUACUCUAGAAAAAUACUGCGCUCGGUCAUCGUUUCAGCCACUAGGCAACCAUGUGAUAGGAAUCCUGCUAAAUAUGAAAAGGUUGGAAGGUUAAUAAUUUCUGGUUCUGAAUUGGUUUAUCAAUUGUUUAUGCAAUUUCCAUCUCUUAAUUGAUCCUUGCACAAAUAUGAAGCAGUCUAUGAAUGAAAGGAGUAGAAUCCUAAAGAAGCACCCAUACUUGCCAGAAAGAGAACUGGAUUCUCAGUUUGUUCCAAUAGGUACUAUUUUGCUUCUUGACAAGUUAUGAUCUUCUGAAGAUAUGACGAGUGACAUUUUUGCUCUAAUUAAAACGUCUCAGGAAGAGCUGUGUCUGCAAGAUACCAUGAUGCAUCUCCACACCAAGAAACGGCGCCUCAUGUUAGUGUCUGGGAUCGUUUGGGACGAGCAAGCUCCAAACGUGUUCUUGACUCAGAAAGCCGUACAUUGUCUAAGUCUGAUAUCAAGGCACAUGAAAACAAAGGGGUUCAGCAGCAUGGACCAGUAUUUCCUGAAGUGUAUAGUGAACAACAUAGCGAGAUAUUUCAAAGAGAAGUUCCUGCAGUUGGUUACAGGCACAGAGUUUCCCAAUCCGAUAAAGCUAGGAAACCUGAGAGUGGAAUUAUCACAUCCACUGAACCGCAUAUUGCAUAUAACCUGAACAGAAAGAGGCGUUAUGGCAUCGUCAACCCCAAUUCAGGAGAGUUUAGCAGUGUUCUCCAAUAUAAGCAAGCUGAAGAGGAUGUUGAAAAGCCGAGCCUUCUCUCCUAUCAGUCCACAAAGCCAGAUAUCUUUUCAGUACGUUAUUUGAUAGUUAUGCUUUAUUGCUGUCAUUCAUGUGACUAUUGAUUCCUCACAUUUCAAAUGAUGCUGUUCUUCUUUCUUUUAUCAGGAAAUAAAGAACGUGAAAGAAAAGAUGCAAGAACUAGAACUCCGAAUUAUUCAAUCAAAGCAGUUGAAGAAACAGAAAAUUGAAGAACUCAAACCCUCACCACAAUCUGGUAUGGAAACUCUUAUGUUUUGGAGCAGCUAACAUUUCCCCUUCAUUUAUAAUAAGAUAUUUCCGCUUAACUACUUCCCUGACUGUCCUGCUGCCUCGUUGCAACUUCUUUCCAGGCGAAUCACAGUAUCAGCAAGAUGUCACAGAAUCAAGAAUCAUACAUGUUACUAACGUAAGUCUACAGGGUUUCCUCUUAUCUUUUGUUUGUGCAGUCUAUUUCCUUAUUACACAUGAAUCUAAGAUUGAGAAAUAGUCCAAUUCUCUCGAAUGCAUUCUAAUUUUGAAACUCACUAACACUUAAAAAACAUCUGGAACUCAUCUAAAUAACUUCUCAAUGAACUUAUCAGGUAAACUAUGCAGCAAAGAAAGAAGCUAUAUCAAUGUUCUUCAGCAGCAAGUGUGGAGCUGUCGAAAACGUGACAAUUGUAACUGAUCCAGUAACUCGGCAUCCAAAGGGGUAAAAUCCUCUCUUCCUCAUAAUUUCUUGUUCGUUGCAAUAGACUACGCACAAAGUCACUUUUAAGCAAGAAAUCGUCCUUAUUGCAAAUAAAACCUUCCCUUCUCCAGUUCUGCUUUUGUGACUUUUGCUACAAAGGAGUCAGUUAACCAAGCAAUAGCUCUGAGCGGCACAAUGUUCUAUUCAAGACCUAUCAAGGUUCACUUCAAUUCUUCUCUAUCUAACAAUAUUACUUCUUUCUGACUCAACCCAAGUUAUCCAACUUCUCUAUUUUUCAACAUUCCAGGUUGGGAGGCACAUGAUAGCUUCUGGAGUAGUGUCAGCACCACAGAUAGUUACUGGAAGUUAAACCAAAAGGAAUGGUAAUACACAAAGAGCCUAAAUACAUCACCUUAACGACACCGUUGUACAGUCCCUCCCUACAAUAGGACACAAGUGAAAGUCACAAUCAGUUACUCUUUGAUCAGAUUUUAGCUCACUAUGAUCAAAUUUUCUGUCCGUUUACGUUUCAUGGGACAGAAACUUAGUGGAAAAUGAUGAAUUGACUGAGAAAAGCUAAUAACGAAGAGAAGAGAAGAAAUGCUAAUAAGCAAACACUUGUUGGGACACAAGGUUCCCACAUUCGAUUUCUUCUUAAUACACAAACGAAAAAAGAAAAAUAAAACUAGAAAAUCAGUAAGUCUAAAAUGGUGGUGGUGGGGUUACUUACUUCUCCUAUCAUGAGAAAACAAAAUACAUUUCAGAUUUUUAUAGAUACACAAACACACACGGAGACACAUACUGACACACAAACUUAUAUCUAAAGCCCUUUUUCUUAUAUCUUCUUCUUCUUUCUCUCUUUGUUAUUUGCUUGAGGGGAGGAUUAUUUAGUCAAUCGUCAUCGGCUGGCUCAAGCAACAUCUGAAACGGGCUUUUCUCGCUGUCGUCAUUAUCUCUGUUUCCGCAGCUUCAAGCAGCUUCACAACCUCCACAAAACAUGGACGGACUUCUGGAUUAGCAUCCCAACAUCUAGUCAUGAUGUCACUCAGCACCGGGAGACAAUCGUUUGGGACUGUUGGACGCACUCCUCGGUUUACAACCGCAAACGCUGCCUGUACAGCAGUCAUGUUCUGGAACGGUAAUAGUCCUGUGAUUAACUCCCACAGCACGAUCCCGAAACUAUACACAUCCACUUUUUGAUUGUAGGCUCUAUGCUGUAUCAUCUCUCUGCAUCAACAGAAACAUAGUUUAUAUUAAUGUAAUUUGCAGAAGCUAAGAACGCAAAAAAGGGUGAAAAAUAUCACAAGUCCCUUUGGAAACUUACGGAGCCAUCCAUCUGUAAGUUCCGGUUUCUGGUGUCAUUCCUUCAGUUUGAACUUCAAUUCUUGCAACACCAAAAUCUGCAAUCUUGAUGGACUUAUCUGCUGAGAUGAGAAGGUUAUCUGACUUGAGAUCUCUGUGUAUGAAGUUGCGUCCAUGGACAUAAGCCAUACCCCUAGCAACAUCCAAAGCCUGUUUAACAGCUAACUUCAAAGGGACGGCUCGGUUCUGUCUCUUAGUCAAAAACUGCCUCACUGAACCUCCUUUGGCGUAUUCAGUCACUAUACACCACACCAUUGGCUUGCGACACGCACCAAUGAACCUCACGAUGUUUGGGUGCUUCAAAUUGGCAAGCAUAGACACCUCUUGCUGAAACUGCUGCUCCAUGAACUGUGCCUUUUCUGGGCUGUUCUCAGGCCGCUCCAGUAUCUUGAUUGCUACAUCUUCCCCAUUGUAAGUCCCUUUGUACAAUUUACCAAAAGCCCCUUGAGCAAAGGCAGGACCCAUGUUGAGGUUCCUCAGAUCAAUCGUCCACUCAUCAUAGUUUGCCAGCCCUUCGGUUGGAUACCUGGUAUCCAUCAGUGCUUGAGCCAAGGCAUCAUCAUUCAACGCAUGGGUAACUCUUCCCGGGCGAAACACGCUUUGUCCAACCGAGAGUGAGUAAUGGCGCACAGGCUUCAAACCAGGGUGGCCAAUAAGAGCAUCGCUGGAACCAACACUACUGUUAUCCACAGACAUUGAGACAGAUCCUCCAGCGUUACUCGUCUGCAUACUCUCCAUGGACAUGUUUGAACCUUCAUUAAGUUUCUGAUAAAACUCUUGCGUAAAAGCAUAGUAAUUGUUGUCAUUGUUGUGAUGAUUCCCAACAGCAAGCACGUUGAACUUUGCUCCCUCAAGCAUCUUCCCCCAAUCUAGGAUUUACUUGUUACGAAUUCUCUGACCAAACUGCAAAGACACACAAAUAAAAUCUUUAGACUAAAAGAUAACACAAAAAAAGAAGCAUUACCUCAAAACUGGAAACAAAUGACUCAUCCACAGAACUAGUCAUCAGUAAAAUGAUCUUACUAUCCUCAAACAAGAGAGAAGAGACAAGUACACCAAAAACAACAACUUUUGCUCUCAAAGACCAUGCACAUCCCCAAAUUAAGAAAGACGAGCUAUUCAGAACAAAGAAACCCAAGUACACCAACUUAGGUUAACUAUUUACCAUAAGAUUCGAAAACUUUCAUCAGCAGAAUCAAUACCCAUUACAGAAAAAGCAAAGUUGAUGACUUUAAAGUCCUAACAGAGAUAAAGCUACAGAUCAUGACUCUGAACCAAAAACCCACAAAAAAAAACACAGAUCCGAUGAAUCAAGUACUCUAAAAGAAGAAAUUAAGGUUUACCUAGAGCUUCUAAGCCCAAUAAAACAGACGAUUACACGGAAGAACACAUGAAAGAAGCUUCCUUCUCACCCGAUGAGUAAAAGAAUCGAAGAUAGUGAAAUUACAAACCCUAGUUCAUCGAAUCGCAAAACCCACAAAACGAUUUUUUCACCUCCGAAUCAAAAAUCGAAUCCAGAGGUUAUGAUGAAAUCAGAAAACCUAAGAAAUGAACGAUGAAUAAGAAGGAGAAGAAGAAGAAGAGUCUCUCAGUCGUCGUUUCCCAUUUACUUUCUCAGCUUUUGAUUUUUUGGUUUUUCCUUCCUUUUUUGUUUAUUUUAAUUUUGAUCCGUCCUUUAUUGCCAAAUUCUUUUCUCAACAACACUCUCACUUACAGAGAGUGUAUUACACGUGCUUUGGAAUAAGACACGUGGCUGAUUUCGGUUCGGUUUUACGAGGUUGUCGUAUGAGGCGGCGCGUUGCCGCUUUUAAAGCUACGGUUACAGUAGUCUUUUCUGAUUCACGCUUGUCCUCCCGUCUUUACACAAUUAUUAUUAAUUUGCCUAAACCAGCAACUUUUUUUUUUCCGUUUUAUUUCUUUCUCCUCUUUUUCCUCGAAAACGUCCAUUUGUUUUUCUUAUAUAUAAAAAGAAUCUCGUAUUUUUAAAUUUUUUAAAAAUUACACGAAAUAAAAAAAAUUAGAGAAUAAUUUAUUUAGGGAAAAUUACGAAAAAAAUCUAAAAACAAACCCAAAUUAUUAAUCUAGGCCAUAUCUUUUAGAAUUUAAGAUGUACACUAACAAAGACAAAAUUAGCCUUAUGAUAUGAUUUAACAUAAUAACAAAUUACAGCCACGUUAGUUAGAGAUUUUUUUAAAAUUUUUAUUUUUAUUGAUUAUGAUAAAUUUUGAAGAUAAAAUCUGAAGAAUAUGCCAAACUAAUCUAGAAUAAUUUUUAAUAAUAUAACUCUAAAUUAACGUUUAUAAUUCUAUCUAGCCCACGUUAGUUAGAGAUUUUUUUUGAAUUUUUAUUUUUUAUUGAUUAUGAUAAAAUUUGAAGAUAAAAUCUGGAGAAUGUGCCAAACUAAUCUAGAAUAAUUUUUAAUAAUAUAACUCUAAAUUAAUUCCCUAAUCCUAUGUGAACUAUGUUGUUAGUUACGUAUAUAUAAGUGUUUAUCAAACCAAACUCCAUUAAAAAACGAUUUGUCAGUUCUAAAGAAAAGUAAGUAUUGUGCAUAGUUUCAUAUUCUUUAUAACGUUUAUGUACAUAAAUUUCUUGCAAAGUUAUUUAAAGAUGCAGUCUUUGCUAAAGUUCUUUGAAAAAGUUAUUUAGUAGAGUAUAAUAUAGAAAGUUUUGCACAGUUAUUAUAUAAAAUUUAAUAUAUAUUUGUUUGGUAAAGUUUGUUGGAAAACUGUUACGUAGAUCUAGUUUAAUAGAAUUAUUAGGUAAAGUUAUUGAGAAAAGUUGUUAUGUGUUUUACGUAGAUCUAUGUACGUGCAUGAGUUGUUGUUAUUAGGAGCGUAUUUAAGUUAUUCCAUGAAGAGUUGUAACGUAGAUCUAGUUUUUUGGAAAACUGUUUUUGCAAACUGUUGUAGAUCUAGUAGUAAUGAGAAAAUUUUGAGUUGUUGAUAGUUGUUUGGUAGAUCUUUAAGUAUAUUUGUUUAAUAAAGUAUUUCAAUAUAGUUAAUUAUCAAGUUUUUUCAUAAAUUUAGUUUCACACAGUUAUUAUAUAGAUCUUAAGUAUAGUUGUUCCUUAAAGUUUUAAGGUAAAGUUAAUUUACAAAUUUUUCUAAUAAUUUAAUUGCACACGAUUAUUAUAUAGAUUUAAGAAUACAGUUGUUUGCUAUAGUUUUUAGGUAAAGUUAAUUUGCAAAGUUUUCUAAUAAUUUAGUUUCACACAAUUAUUAUAUAGAUUUUAAGUAUAGUUGUUUGCUAAAGUUUUUAGGUAAAGUUAUUAUGUAAAGUCAGUUUCGUAAAGUUAUAAUGUAGAGUGUGAAACUAAUUUGUAAAUUUUUUUUUCCACAGAAACAUGGUACAUACAAUUGCAAUUGCAGUUUUUGGUGAUUGGGCGCUAAAGAACGUAUGGCAUUUUACAGUAGAUCAAACCAAGGGCUGCAAAUUACUCGUUCUAGUGGAUGAUAUGUCGUAUGCCGGACUACUUCAGAUAGCUAAAGAAGAAUACCAGUUAGAUAGUUCAGUGCAUAAUGUUGAACUUAGUUAUGCACUACCUGAGAUAAUGUUAGGCAAUAUGUCAAAUGAAACGCCUCCUCCUGUGUUUCUGACAAGUGAUCGACAAGUAAGGAGUUUCAUUGAAAUUAGCAAAUCUAACCCUGUCCGACUUUGUGUUUCAGUGAAAAGAAAAGGCGAAGAGAAUCGUAAAGUUUCGCUCGUCAAUGAGUAUUUGCUACGAGUGGUGAGAAUCAUAAAGUUCAGGUCGCUGAUGAGUUAUUUGUUACUCGUGGUGAAAUUAGAGAUCAUGUUGAUCUUGGUGAUCAUUAUGAUAAAAACGAUGGUGGUGACAACAACAAUAUUCUUUCUUCUAACAACACGGACAUUAAAGUGGGUGAAUACUUUAAGAGCAAAUAUGAAAUACAGCAGAGGUUGUGGAUGCUUUUAGUAAAAUAUAAGUUUGGCUGGAGAGUUUCAAAAUCAGAUCCUACAAAGCUUGUUGUUGUGUGCAAAAAUAAUGGGUGCUCUUGGAGGGUGCGAGCAACCACAAAGGAUGAAACAACAGAGUAUUUCUGGAUUAGAAAGUACAUUGAUGUGCAUACAUGUUCUGCUGAACAAAGAAGUUUUGCACUAGGAUCAAUUACACCGAAAGUUAUAGGCCAACUCAUAUUGGAUCUUUUUGGUGGUAUUAGCAAUGGAUUGAAACCAAGGGAUUUGGAGAAACCAUUACUUAAAAAUUAUGGUUUAACGCUAACUUAUCACCAACUUUGGGAUGCUUUAGAGCAAGCUCGUGAAUUGAUGAGAGGUUCUCCUGAAAGUGGUUAUGAGCAGCUCCCUAAGUACAUCUACAAGAUAAAGAAAGCAAAUCCUGGUACAAUUGCCUACCUAGAGCUUGAAGGUAACCAGAGAUUUAAGUACUUAUUUUUUGCCCUUGGUCAAUGUUUAAGAGGAUUUGAAUUUAUGAGAAAAGUAAUCGCAGUGGAUGGGACGUUUCUCAAAGGAAAGUUUAGGGGUACUCUCAUAGUUGCAACUGCUCAAGAUGGAGAUAAUCAUAUAUAUCCUAUUGCAUUUGGAAUUGUUGAUUCCGAGAACAACGCAGCUUGGGAAUGGUUUUUUUCUCGUUUGAAAUCAGUUAUCCCUGAUCAUCCUGAUUUGGUGUUUAUCUCUGACAGACAUGAGUCUAUUGAAAUAGCUAUUGAAAAGGUGUUUCCCUCUGCAAAUCGUGGGAUAUGCUUCUUUCACCUUGAGAAAAACAUCAAAACCAAUUUCGGAACAAAUCAAUUAUUUCACUUGGUUACGAAAGCUGCAAAUACUAUUUUACGUGAUGACUUUACCAAUGUCAUGGAUGAGAUACGUCGUCUUAAUCCAAAGCUGAGCAAAUACUUGGAAGAUGCGGAUAUUCGAUUAUGGUCUACGGCUCAUUUCCAAGGAAACAGGUACAACAUCACCACAACUAACACUGCCGAAUCAAUCAAUGGACUUUUGAAAGAUGCAAGAGAGUACCCCAUCGUAGCUUUUCUCGAUCAUGUGCGGGCUACUCUAACUCGCUGGUUUUGUGAGCGUCGAGAAAAAGCUGCAAAACUUGUCACAGAACUUGGACCAUAUGCUGCCCGUGAAAUUGAGAAAAUACGUGAAGAGGCAAACACACUUGCGGUGCAGCCUAUAAAUCUAAAUCAGUUUCAUGUGACUGGUGGCUCACAAGACGCUGUAGUUGACAUACAGAAAUUGAGUUGUUCAUGUCGUGCGUUUGAUAUAAAGAAGAUUCCAUGUAUGCAUGCCAUUGCAGUUGCUACGAAAAAACAGAUUCCUGAGCACACGCUCUCAGAUCCUUGCUACACGAGAGCUUUUCUAUUUGCUGCAUAUUCUGAGUCCAUCUAUCCUGUUCAAGGGAUUCUUAAUGAUAUCCAAAUACCAUCUGAAGUUGAAAAAAGUCAGUGUUUACCUCCUCAAGGUCGACGUCGUUCAGGUCGACCGAAGAAAAAAAGAAUCCAAUCCUCAUUAGAGAUUGCAAUGGAGAACAAGCGACCACGAAAAGAGCACAAGUGUUCAAGAUGCAAGCUUCCUGGACAUAAUAAAAAAACAUGUGAAACGGCGUUACCAUGAAAUGCUUCUUGUUAUGUUUUUUUUUUUUUUUGUCUUUUUCUCAUAUUUUGGUUUCUUUUUGGUGUUCCUUGAAUGAAUUCUUUUUUUAUUUUUUAAAAAUUUGUUUUAGCAAUAUUUGUCUUCUAAAAAAUUCUUUUUUUUUGGAACACCGCUGCUUUUUUCUUAAUUUCUUGUUUCCCAAGGUAUUAUGCCUUCCCCAUUGUGACUCCUAACUAUGUUAGUUAAGUCGUAAAAUUUCCAAUGGAGAAUGCUCAACGCUCCAUUCAUGAAUGUUACUAUAUGGUUUGAUAAAAUUAGAAUUUUAUCCCUAGUUAGAAUUUGGUAAAUGCAACUUGUGAAAAGAGAAAAACAGUUUCUGUGUUGAUUACUUAAGUAAUUUUUUAUACAUUAAUAACUCAAUAUACUGAAAUUUUUUGGACAAUUCUCUAAACUACCAUAUUUUUUAGUUUUGUUUCUUAAAUACCACUAGUGUUUUUCUAAUAAUACAACAAAUUCAAUAUUAAAAUGAAUCAAAAUCUCUUUUAAAUGGUGGAAAUAUAAACCUUAAAUUGGAAAUAGCUAGGGAACCCAGAUUUAUUUUUAAAUUUUAUUUGUAUUUCAUUUUGGUUGAACAAAUAUUUUUAUACAAAAAUUUGUUGUAUUAUUGAGAAAAUAAACUAGUAAUGGUACUUUUGGAACAAAAACAUAAUAGUGUGGUAUUUUAGAGUAUUUAAAAAAAAAUUCUAAUCUCGAAUUAAUAUUUGUAUCCAUCUUUACAAAUUAAUAAAAAUAUUAUAAUUCCAACAUUAAGUUUUAUUGUAAUGUUUGAGAUUUCUAAAACAAAAUUAAGAGACUAACGAAUAUUUUCCUCAAACUUUUUUUUUUGUCAACCACACAUUAAUUAAAAAAUCACUCCAUCAUUGGUAGCCACGAAAAGUGUUUACAAAUGAAAUUUCCAAAAGUAAACUUUUAGAAUAACGGACUAAGCAAUCUGCCUUUCCUCGAACUUUUUUCUAGAGCCGACAUUCAAAAAGAUCAGAGUUAGUUCCAAAUCUGUCAUACAUGUCAGAGAUUGAUAUGUUUCUUUAAAGUUAGUUGUUUGUUAAUAAGAACUAACACGUAUGAAAAUUUUCACUCUACGGUUUCCCUUACAUUAAGAUCGCUUCAUCUUCUUUUGUCUCUUUUCCCAAAAGUUGCAAUGUAAAUGCUCCAAAUUUGCCGUACAUGUCUGAGAUUGAUAUGUUUCAUUACAGCUAAUUGAUUGUUCACAGGAAUUAACACGAAAGAAGAAUUUUACUUUACGGUUUCCCUAGCAUUAAGUAUUAUUUUUAAAAUCUUGUUUGGUCUCUUCUAGGGGUGUCAAAAUGGAUAAACCGAUUCAAGCCGAUCCAUAAUCCAAUGAGUUUAGGCUUAAAUGGUUUAUGAGUUGAUCCAACUCAUUUGUUAAAUGGAUUGAGUCAAUCCAUUAAUCCAAUUAUUUGAUGGUUUAAUGGUUAAAUGAGUUAAUCCAUGAAAAUAAAAUAAUUAAUUAAUUAAUAAAUAUUAUCAUCAUAUAAUGCUACAAAUAAUAAUUAAUGACAUAAAUGAGUUAUGAUAUCACGUUUUUGGCGGGAAAAUCACGGAAUCACGUUUUCGUGGGAAAAUCCGGAAUCACGCUUUUGGCGGGGGAAAAUAUGGAAUCAUGUUUUUGGCGGGAAAAUGUGGAUCGCUUUUUGGCGGAAAAAUGCGGAAUCAUGUUUUUGGCGGGAAAAUGUGGAAUCAUGUUUUUGGCGGAAAAAUGCGGAAUCAUGUUUUUGGCGGGAAAAUGUGGAAUCACAUUUUGGCGGGAAAAUACGGAAUCACGUUUUUGGCGGAAAAAUACGAAAUCAUGUUUUUGGCGGGAAAAUGUGAAAUCACUUUUUGGCGGGAAAAUCACGGAAUCACAUUUUGGCGGGAAAAUUUACGGAAUUGCAUUUUUGGCGGGAAAAUGUGGAAUCACUUUUUGGCGGGAAAAUCAUGGAAUCACAUUUUUGGCGGGAAAAUGCGGAAUCACGGUUUUGGCGGGAAAAUAGGAAAUCACGUUUUUGGCGGAAAAAUGUAGAAUCAUAUUUUUGGCGGGAAAUGCGAAAUUCCAUUUCUAGCGGAAAAUUUUACGGAAUUGCAUUUUUGGCGGGAAAAUGUUGAAUCACGUUUUGGCGGAAAAAUUUAUUUCAUGGAUUUAAUAGUUAAAUCAUGUCUACAUUGGUUUAUUAAAAUCAGUUUUGACAUUUGAUUUGAUUAUAUUUGGUUUAGACAUUUGAUUUAGAAUGUUUAAUUUUUAUUGGUUUGGUUAUGAGUAAUCCACUAAUCCAUUCUAACAUAAACCAUUUCAAUCCAAUUCAUUAAACUCACUAAUCCAUUAAAUCCAUUAAUCCAUUAGUAUCCAAAUUUCUCAUUCAUUAUAUCUAUGGAUUGGAUUGGUUUGGAUUGAUCCAUUAACUUUUAUCCAUUUUGACACCCCUAGUCUCUUCUCUCCUAAUAGUUAAGACGCAAAUGCUCCAAAUCUACCGUACAUGUCAGAGAUUGAUCGGUACCUUUAAAGUCAGUUGAUUGUUCAUAAGAAAAAACACGUGUCAAGAACUUCAUUCUACGGUUUCCUUGCAUUGUUUAUUUUUUUCUUUUGUUUGUCUCGUUUCUUCCAGAAUUUAAAACACAAAUGCUUCAAAUUCGGCAUACAUGUUAGAGAUUGAUAUGUUCCCUUAAAGCCAACUGUUUGUUUGUAGGAAACAAGACGUGUGAAUAACUUUGCUUGACGGUAUUCCUUGAAUCAAGUAUUCUCGUGAUAUCUAUUUGUAUAUUCCCUUUUAGUACUUAAAACGUAACUGCUCAAAAUCUAUCGUACAUGUCAGAGAUCGAUCUAUUUCAUUAAAGUCAGUUAUUUUAAUAAGAAUGAAAUAACACGUUUGGAGAAUUUCACUAUACGGUUUUCCUUGAAUUAAGUUCGAUUGAACUUCUUUUGUCUCUUUUCUCCCAGAAGAAAACAACGUAAAUGCUCCAAAUUUGUCGUAUAUAUAAGAGAUGGAUAUGUUCUCUUAAAGUUAAUUGAUUGUUCACAGAAAAUAACAAGUGUGACGAACUUCACUUUACGGUUUUUCUUGCAUUAAAUAUUCUCUUAAUCUCGAUUUGUCUCUUCUCUUCAAAUAGUUUAGACGCAAAUGAUUCAAAUAUGUCGUAUAUGUCAGAGAUUGAUAUGUUUCUUUAUAGUCUACUAUUAGUCAUAAGAAACUACACGUGUUAAGAACAUAUCUCUAUUGUUUCCUUUGCAUUAAGUAUUCUCUUGAUCUUCUAUUGUCUUUUUUUCUUUCUCUUGAUCUUCUAUUGUCUCUUUUUCUUUCUCUACUAGUUAAGAUGCAAAACUUUAUAAUUACUUCUUUCAACCAGCAAUUACUACAUUUGAAUUCAGAGUUAUGUUUUUUUGUUCUACUAAGUCAUAGUUAACUUACAUCUUUAGAUAUUGAAAGUUGUUGAUUCCAUUAGGAGUCUAGGAGAACCACACUUCCAAAUGGGGAUCCAAAACAAUAUUGUUUAAAUGACAUUAGUAAAAACUAAAAACAAACUUAUCAGAUACAAGUAUUUGGGCCGGCCCAAUAGAUUUGGGUGCCCAAAGCAUUCUUAAGCCCACACAUUUAAUAAAGUCACAAAACAACAGAUUAGGGAAUCGAACCUUGCACCAAAAAGACAACUACCUAGGGGCUAACCACUUCACUACAUAAUAUUUUAUAAAAGAGUUACCCUUUACUACUAUAUAUAACUUUUGGCGCCUAAAGCAAGGGCUUUACCAGCUUUAGCUCAGGGCCGACCCUAAUUAUUUCCGCUGCAGUAUUGUUGGUUAACCUUAAAUGCCUAAUGUUUUAUGCAUCAAGGAUUUUAUAUAUGCAUGUUGUUUUCAUUUAAUUCUUAGAGUAUAUUUUAGAGCAUUGUCAUAAGUUACAUUCAUUGAUUAAGUUAUAUUAUAUGAUUUACUAUUUUACUUAUAGUCCAUAAUUUGAUAUGCAAUCAUAAAACAAAUUAUCAAUAUUUUUUAUUUGAAUAAUUAAGAAGUUUUGGGCCUAGGCCCGUACAUCCCUUCAGACAAUAGACCAGAGUAUCUUAUAUGAUCUCUUCCUAAGUAUAAUCCAUAUUUUAUUUAAAUAAAAAAGAGUUCAAAAUUCAAUUUACCAUUUUGCUCAUUUAAGUACUCACACAAAACAAAUAGAUAAAACAAUAAGUCAUUAUUUUUCUUAACAUAAGCUCGAUUGGAUUGGUUUGUAUUGAUAAAAACAAAUGUUGAUAUUAGCUUGGGUUUGGUAGAUGAAUAAUCCUUAGGCCCAAAAAAACGGACAACUUCAAUGACCACAACAAAAUUUACUUAAAAAUGAGUAUGUGUAACAAAUGUGAGAGAAGUAAGCUAAAUCAUAUGCAUAACACGCAUCUAUUAAAUGAUCCUCUCAUAGUAUAUUUCGUAGAAUAAAACCAUUUAUAUAUUUGCUUCUUUUUUUCCAAAUAUUUGGAUAUUCAUCAUUGGUUACUUUCGAAUCGAUCUGCAGUAAAAAAAAAAAUAAGUAAAAAAGUAUAUAUAUAUAUAGAAAUUUUAAACUUACUGCUUCCAUAGUUUCGACUAAUUAGUUUUUUUUUUCUUCUGUGUCGUCGCAAAUUAGGGUUUUAGUUAAUAAACAGUCCCAUGAUAUAUUUGUCUUUGAAUUUCCUCGUCACUCAUUUAAUUUACACAGCAGAAGCUACUCUCGGUGAUAGCUAUGUCGUCCCGGAGAAAAGAAGAUACGAAGAGAAAGAGAGAAACAAAAUGGCGACAAUCGACAAACAACUGAAGUUUGCAGCUGACAUCCAAGUGAUGGUUGCAGCUGAAGUUCACUUCGGAACUAAAAAUUGCAAAUACCAAAUGAAACGUUAUGUCUUCAAGCAACACAAUGUUGUAAAAUUUUCUCAUCAUCUUUGAUCAGAGCAUUGAGAAUUUUGUGUUGAUUAGCCCGAUUUAAUUUGUUCAAUUGAGUAUGAAUGAUCAAAUUGAGGUUUCUUAUAGAAUGAUUUGCAGCAUAUUUCUUGUGGUUUCUCUAUGUUCUUGUGAUUGUACUCAGUCUAGUGGAACGUUUGUUGUUAGUUAUUUACAUCUUCAACCUUGGGAAAACAUGGGAGAAACUUCAGAUGGCUUGCUAGAUUUAUUGUUGUUAUCGAGAACUCGUAAGACAUUAUUGUUCAAUCAGCUAGAGCUUCUUGACAUAGAGCUGUGUUGAAGUUGCUCAACACACUGGUGUUAAUGCCAUUGUUGGAAGACACACUUUUGGUACAUUCACCAAUCAAAUGCAAACGUCCUUCAGUCCUGAACAGAAGUGGGUUGUCAUUGUAAGAGUAGGGGAUAUCAUUUUUUAUGUUUAUCUCUUACAAGGGUGGUACAAGUCGAUAAUGUUUUCGGAUUGUUCACGUUUGGUAUGUUUGUGUUGUAUAGAUGGACCUGUUCUUUUACAGGGUACCCGAGGAGCUAGGCCAAGCAAUUGGAGUGGUCGGUGGAGACCAAUGGACCACUGUUCAAAUCACGGAUGCUGCAUGGCUAGUAGAAGCUUAGCAACCAAUUGUUGCUGCUCCCGCUGCUGCUUCGUGGAGUGAUGCGAGUGGUUAGUUGACUAUAUCUAAGAUUUACCAUCUAAAUUUGUAUUAGAACUGAAUAUGAUCUUAUAUUAUAAAUGGUUCUUCUUAGUCUCUCCCGGAGCAGAUGGAUGGGACACAGCUGUGCCACCUCCAGCCGCUGGUUGGGAGUAAAUGUUUUUGUUCCUGGUUAAAAUUGAGUAGCUUUUGUUUUUUUUACAUGUUUCUCGUUAAAAAACUUAUAAAAUCUUUUACGGCUCUUUUUGUCAGUUUCAAAUGAUUAUCUUCUAUAUUAUCCUUUUGGGGUUACGAUUCUUUACUAAGAUCCCUUACAUUAUGCAAUGAUUUUACUUAUCAUUUUCAAAGGUUCUUAGAAUUAACUAACCAGUCGUCACAUAAAGAACAUGCAAAAACAAAUAAAGAUAUAAGUAAACUAGUCUGUAUCCAUCAAAUUUCUUCUGUUUUCUCAAUCAAUUUUUCUCAAUUACUUUUAUAGUCUUUCAAGUAUAAUCAAAGUGUUUUUCCGUAUUAUUUUCUGCAUUGAACUUGCUAGGUAAUUCGGUUUCUUUCGAGAGUUUCUCAAAUGUUACGGUAUUGGGUUAUUGCUAAGCCGAAGUAUGUUUUACCCAUCACUGAAAUAACCUUAUGAUAUAUAUUACACAUUUUUAAAAAAUUGCAACACUUUGUUUUAGUGAAAUGGUGAUACCUAAGUUUAUGGUCUUUGUCAUGUUUGUUGCUAUACCUCGAUCUAAGGACUGCAUUAUCUUUGACAUGUUUUGUUAACCUUAGCAGCAUGUAAUAAAGGAUCAGUUCCUCCAUACUGAACUACAUAUUAAGUUACAUUCAUAAGCAAGAUCUGUACAAUUUUAACACUUUCUCCACAAGGGAAAGACACUCUAUUGCAUCUCCUUAUACUACGAGCAUGCAAAUUGAGGAUUCAUGGUUGUUGUCUAUGUAAGUAAUAUCUGAAUCAUGCAAUUGCCUCUUCUUGUGUGUAGAUCAGUUUUUCCUUGGAAACCAAACUUACUGAGGCACUGAGAUAGAAGCACCACUCAUAUGUUCCUGCAAAAUUUUAGUGAAGAAGAAAUCAGUAGAUGAGUAUAGUAAUAGAUUCGAGUUUCGGAUUUUAGCUAUUAUCGGUUCUCACCAGUUUCAAAGAACUUUGGCUACCAGUUGGAGAUGGUACAAGGCUAUUGCUGACUACUACAGAAUGUGAUGAUUCGUCAGCAAGUGUUCUUAAUCUGUUUAGCUCAGGCAAUAUGACUUUAGCAAGAUCAGGUCUGUCUUUUCUCCUUAGCUCUGCACAUUUAAGAGCUAAUUUAGCAAACUCUUCUGUGUCUUCCAUUGGCCAAUCAGAAACAGCUGGAUCAAGUAAAUCAGCCAAAGUUCCUUUCUCGAGUGCUCUCUCGACAUAAUGGGUUAGCCCCAUUGGUGGUUUUGCUGUUAUCAACUGCAGAAACAUAAUGCCGAGUGAGUAAAUGUCGGAUUUCACACCCAACAUUCCUGUUUGCUGAUACUCUGGAUCGAUGUAACAGAACGUGCCCGCGGUUGAAGUCAUUCGGUACUGUGUCACCGUGUCUGCAACCGAUGGAGGGACUAGCCUGGCUAAACCAACAUCAGAAAUCUUGCUGACGAAGUUACGGUCUAGCAAGAUGUUUCCUGGUUUGAGAUCACGGUGAACUAGAGGCUCAGGUUUAGCCUGGUGCAAGAACAACAGUCCAGUGCCAAUCUCAGCAGCAAUUCUGAACCUCAUCUGCCACGAGAGAGGUGGGCUGUUUCCUAAUCUGAAAAGACGAUCUUCUAAGCUUCCGUUGGCCAUGAACUCGUAGACUAAACAUCCACAUUCCGGGCAUGCCCCAAGAAGUAGAACCAUGUUAGGAUGCCUAAUGCAGCUCAAUACCUCAACCUAUGUUUCAAACAAAAUCUCAAAUGAGAAAGAAACAGAGGAAUAAGGAGAAAGUGAUGUGAGUUUAUUACAAGAAGUCAUCACCUCUUGUUGGAACUGAGAUCUUCCUUGAGCUGCAUCAGGACGAAGAACUUUAACAGCCACUGGUGUAUGAUCAAGAUAACAUUUGUAGACAGGUCCAUAACCACCUUCUCCAAUCUUAUAUUUCUCAGCGAAAAACUCGGUUGCAAGCUCAAUCUCUUCAAUGGAGUACUUCCUAUACCUGACAUCUGAGUUUGCUAAAGCAGUAAGAGCCUUUGUUUUCUCCUCAGACUCCUUUAGAGCUUUCAUUUCCGCGUUGACUCUCUUCUUAGCCUCUAAUUCAGCAAUUCUUUGAGCUGCUUCAGCUGCCUCCAUAGCCGCUUUCGACUUUGCUUUCUCUUUCUCUGCGAUGGCUAAUGCUGCUUCCUCUGCAUGUCUUGCCUCUUCUAGUUUCCUCUCUUCUUCUAACUUCCAACGCUGAAGCUCCGUCGCCUACAAUUACCAAAACAUUUUUUAGAUUUCGAAAACCAUAAACACUUGUUUCAUAGAAACUCUACCUUUUGUUUUGCUGUGAGUGCUUCUUUGCAAGCUGUACUGUACAUUUCCAUAGUCUGCUUCAACUCCAGUUUAAGCCUCCUCAUCUCAGCCUCUACAUCAUCCUGAUUUUGAUAAUUGUCAAAAUGUCAAUAACACUAGUUAAUUAUAGACCGAACACGAUGAUAUUUUAUCGGUCUUACUAUUGAUUGAGAGGCGGAUGAAAAUCUUUCGCUCUCGAGCGAGCCUGUUGAGAAAUCAGUAGGUGAGUUCAAAUCCACUGAUCUCCUUCCAUAGUUGGAAGACUGAUCAAGGUUAGAACUAUAGUCCAUGUCUGAGAAAUUUGACAGCCUAGGAGGAGUUCUGGUUGGAUCAUUGUUGUCAUAUAGAGAAGGGAAGAUACGGUCAAUGCUUGGUCUUCCAGAACUAAUAAAAGAUAUGUCUGAUUCCGGAACAGACAGAUCACCGUAUGAUUUCCCAUUGCCUCUUCUUGUAAAAGGAGAUCUGUGUUUCAUCCAAGGAGAUUUUAGUUUCAAGAUCAUGUCUAAAUGAAAACAUAUACAAGAGUGGUUUUUACCUGAAGGACUCUGAUUGAUCCUCCAUUGACCUCCGUUGUUGAUCCUCCAUAGACCUACGUUGUUGAUCUUCGACAGACCUUCGUUGGUUAGACUCAAAAGACCGUCUCUCAGCUGUAAUAAAUAAGAUGGAAAAUCAAGUUUUAAGGUGAAAUUGACAAGCGAAAGAAGCGGAAAAGCAGAGAAGUUCUGAGUUUUUUUUUUAACAACCUCGCAUACUGUUAGCGAAAGUAGAAGGCAUAGGUUGAGGAGGCUUUAAGCUAGGUGGUUGAACCGGACUGCGUAGAGGAGCAGUCAUGGGUGCAGAACGAGAAGCUGAUCUCAUUGUUUGAAUCUUUCCUUUGGAAAUGAUAUAAACCGUGCAGAAAUCAGGCGCGUUUUUUGUUAUGUUGCCUGGAAUAUCUGUAGGCUUGUUGAACCUGCAAAAUUUAGUAAUCCACCAUUAAUUGAGAAUCAAGGUUCAGCCAGAGAGACAAAGAAGGCAAGGAAGUGAUUAUUUUUGUACCUGAGAAAACCACCUUUGCUAGAGGAACCAACUACUAAAACCUCAAUGGCGGCUUGGUUUACGUAUUCGACCAACGCUUUGGCAACAUCGGACUCCUCAAGCAACACAUCUUGGCAUUGAAUCUAGACAGUUUCAUUCCAAAACACCAUAAGAAUACAAGAGAGACAAACAAAGAAGGAAUCUAAAUCAAGAAUACUAACAUCUUUGCGGGUGCAGAAGCAACGAAAAGGAAGGAAUAACUCCUUGGAAAUGCCUUCUGGAUCUCUGCAUACCAAUGAAGAAUCUUGGCUCAGCUCUGAAACAAAAACACAAAACAAUCAGAAACAAGUAAAACAAAAGACAACAGAGAAGAAAAAAAAAAUGAUAUAGAAGAAUGAUAGGGUUUGUUUACUUGCAGAAGAAGCAUGAAGAGAAGGGCUAUUAUUCAAUGGAGAAGGUCGAAGCUUGACGUGGACGAGAAUGACGGAUUGGCCUCGCUGCAACAAAUGAUCAACAGCCCAUUUAAGAGCGUGUUGGCUGCUUUUGUCUUUGUCUAUUGCAACAGCUACAAUUCCGCUCGAUCCUCCUUCCUUGACUCCCACGUUAUUGUUUUUCGGCAUCCACAUCUUCUUCUCUCUUUCGGUUUCUCUCCUUCAGGAUUCAAGAUUCAGGCCAAUAAAGAAACUUGAGAAGAAGAAAUCGAAAGAGAGAGAGACGUGUUUCGAGGUUCAAAGAUGGUUUCUCUAUUUUUCAUUUUGUUAUUUUGUAAAGAUAGCGAAAUAAGUGGAUGAAGAGAAAAGAGAGUUUCUAUAAAAAUACAUUGUCUCUUGUUUUGUAUCUCUCUCUACGAACGCUUCUCCUUCUUCUCCGCCUCUUGUUUCUUUGACCUCUUGACUUCUCUUUCCUAUUAACUGAAAUUUUCUUCGACAAUUUACAAAACCAAUUUGUGUCUAGAUUAAUUUCCACGCAAGUAACAUACUAACAUAUAAGAUGUGUCCAAACUUACAAAAAAAGUAAAUUAUAUAAAAUGAAAAAGAACACAGUUUUUAUCCAAAGUAAAAGUUAGUUUCCACAUAGACAAUUAAGAAGAUAACGUUGUUACAAGACAAUUCACCAUUAAAAAGAAUAUCAAAAAUACAUUCCAAACCUUUCUAAUAUUACUAAGGAGAGAGUCGAAGUCAAUAUCUUUUAUUUUGUUCUCAUCUCAAACCUUGAAUUUUCUUCUUUUUCAUUUAUACAAGUUUAUUUUUUUACCUUGUGCAAUGUGAAAACCGAGUCAGCAUGGAUAAAGUUUGAUCAGAUUUUUGUGAGAUCUAGUAGUACUAUUCAUAAUAAAUAUUCAGUAUGUUGCAUAAAAACGGAAACGCGGAAGCGAAACGUUUCGGAAACGGGAAACGAUUUUUUUCUAAAAUUAGAGAAUGGCAACGUUUUGGAAACAUCAUUUUGGGAACACGUUUAUGCCACUGUGAUGAACACAUAAUAAAGACUUUCGCAAGAAGAAAACAUUCAUGAUUAACUCUUUAUUUGUUAUGCCUUACUUAAAUCAUGUUUUAAACAUGAAACACGAAACAACCACACAUUUAACAUAGAGAAAAUGCUUCAUUUGUUAUAUCUCAUGAAGAUGUUUAUAUACCCUGAUAUCAAAACUCUAGACCAAGCAUUGUCAAUAGGCAUUUUCUCAAGCUCAUCCAUAUUCGUUCGCGAAGACAUCAAGAAAUGUUUCACUAUGAAUUCUACUAGUUCAAAGUGUUCUUUAAUUGAGAAACCUUUGUUAUUCACAACGUCUUCCAGAAGUUGAUUGAUUAUAUAUUGUUCGAACUGAUGGUAGACAAGAAUGACUCUGUGGCCCAAUGGAUAAGGCGCUGGUCUACGAAACCAGAGAUUCUGGGUUCGAUCCCCAGCAGAGUCGAUUUCUUUUUAUUAUUUUUUUUAAUUGCGAAUUUGUCGAAUCUCAAGAACAAGAAGAUUCUGUUUUUACUUUUUAGUCUCACUCACAUUUCAUAAUCGAAAACUCGCACAAGUCAAGAGGAAGAAGAUGAGUGGUACAGUGGCAAUGCACAGUGUCUUCGUCUACGGUAGUCUCAUGGCGGACGACGUCGUUCGUCUCCUCCUCAACCGUAUCCCUCUAACCGCCUCCGCAACCCUCCCUGAUUUGUACGAUCCCAUCUCUCUCUGUGAGAUCGAUUUUGGCUGUUGAAAUUGAAAAAAAUUGAUUGUGGAUUUUGAGAUUUUCGCAGCCAUAGAUUCAGCAUCAAAGGUCGUGUUUAUCCCGCGAUUCUACCAGCUAAAUCCGAUAAAGUCUCUGGCAAGGUCAGGAUCCGAAUCAGAAUCGUGCUCAUGCCUUUAGGGAUUGGGGAAAUUUUUAUUUGGUUGUUGUGCAGGUGUUAUUUGGAAUCACAGAUCAUGAACUUAAUGUUUUAGAUGAGUUUGAAGAUAUUGAGUAUGAAAGAGAGAAUGUUCAAGUUUUGUUAACAGUGAGUCAAUUUUAGAUCGUUCUUCAUUCAUUUCUAUAGAGAAGAAAAAAGUGUGUUGUUGUUGUUCUUGAACAACAACACAUUUGUUCUCUAUUUUUGAUUUGAAUUCAGAGAUAUUGAAAAUAUAUGUUUCUUCCUUCAAUUCACAGGAUAGCUCAGACGAGAAACUGCAAACGAAAACCUACGUUUGGGCCAAGAAAGAUGAUCCUGACCUUUACGGUACAUGGGAUUUCGAGGUUAGCUACCGUAACUUGUUCUAUUAGGCUCUUUGUCUCUGGAUCAUUACAUGUUUGAAUUGGGUUUCUUUUGUAUUUUGAGAAGGAAUGGAAGCAACUUCACAUGGAAGGUUUCUUGAAGAUGACUAGAGAAUUUGCUGAAGAGUUGAAUUUACCGAAAUCUGAGAUAUGACUCGCUGCCACAUUCGGGUCAGUAGAUGAAAUCUGGUAUAGUUUCCUCAAUAAAUUGGUCAAUAUAUUCUUGGUAUUCUCUCUAGGAAGGGUUAGAUUCUUCUUCAUGAAUACACAUACAUGAGGGCAUUUGGGUUGUGGUAAUACAUCAACUAAACACAUACAUAAGAAAACAGCUGCAGAUUCUUGUGCUGUAUUUUAUUAUUUAUGCAAUCUGGUAUCUGUUGAAGCGGCAACUUUGGAAGAAGGAGAUGCUGAUGCAUCUUCUUUAUCUGAAGCAUUGAUAACAACUUCUCCUCCGUUGCUGCUUCUCCUUUCUGCCAUCUCUAAAGUCACCUUCAACCAAUGCAAUUUGACCCCAAUGGCUCUUAAAAGAGCCUAGAAGCUGGACCAAAUCCUGAGAACACGAGAGUAGAAAUGUAACAAUGAUUAGAUCAACCACAAACUCUUACACCAUAAGAUUCAGUGAGAUUUGGUUUAUCAUCAUUUGUUCUUACUUAAUGAGUAUUUAACUACUUAAGACAAUAACCAUGAACUCUUUAAAAAUACUCUAUCAUCCGAAGAAAGACAAAAGAAAGAUCAAAACCACCUUCCCAAAACAUAUAUGCAUACCAACAGUGCAUAGUUAGAAUUGAGCUUGCUGAGUUACUGAUAUCAGCUAUAGAAAAGUAACAAACACAACACAUAAGCCAGGGGAGCAAAACAAUGCAAAUGCUAAAUGAGAUUUUAAUCGAUUACUACCAAAAUACAAAACAAGAACAGUUAAAAAGAACAGUCGAUGAAAUGCAUCUGAAUCAAAAAGCCACGGUGACAAAACAGAGUGAAGGAAUAAAAAGGAGAAAGCGAAAGGUGAAAGAGCACAUGAUCGUACAAGAACCCAAGCAAGGUUGUUUAUAUGGUUCCUCCCAAGUGUCAUUCGAACCAGCAACAUCUAAGCUUUACGUGAGAUAUUUUACCAGUUGUGCUAUUAGCAUUUGGUGUCACUACGGUUUCAAUCUCCUCAUUGACAAUUAGCGAUGAUUUUUUUUUUACAAAUGUCAACUUCACGUCGCAACCUCAACAUUUUCUCCUUGAAUUUAGCGCACUUUAAAUCCACAACGAUUAUAAGAGGUUGAGCUUAAAUUUUACAUAGAAUCAGUGCCGGCUUAAGACGUGUUAGAGGUGAUGGGGCACAGGUCCAAACUUUAGACUCUAAAAUGGCCCAAAAUUUUUUUUUACAUGUUUAGGUUUUUUUUCUUAAUAUAUUUAGAGAUUUUUUACAUAGUAGUACUGGGUCUAACCAAUGUUUGAGCCGGAUUUACAUAGAAUGUAACUCAUAUCUCUUACCAUUGAAGAAAUGCCCAACUAUUGGUCAAAUAUAAUCAACCGUAAAAAGAAGACGUUAAACAACACCGCAGCUUCGGUGAAGCGUUUGUAGCUGCGGUGUUGUUCCUAGCGGCGGGAUAUUUCUUCAGAUCUGAGAUUCCGGUGGUGCAUCGCCGUGUUUCUCCACAUGUCGCCGUGUUCCUCUUGUGGCAUGGACUCUUCGACGAGCCUUUGGUGUGACGGUUCCUCUCUUCUCGGUCUCUCUACCUUAUUUUUUGUCCAGCUCCGGUGGUGAUGUGUUAGGAUCCGACGGGCGUCUCUUUUGGAGGUAAACCUCGGGGUCUUUGUUGGCGCUCUGGUUUGUUCGUUGCGGUUAGAGAUGUUGUGGUUUGUUGUUGGUGGUGGUCAACAUCUCUCCUCCAUUGGUGGGCUGUAGAGGGUGGCAGCUUCCUCAGCCAUGGUUAUGGUUUUCCCGUGACCAUUUUUCUUCGUCCCUUCGCCUCGUCUUCGGUUGCUCUAAGGUGGAGUUUUGUUGUUCUUGGUGUUGUCGGUGUCGGUUCUUUUUGUGUAGGUGAGCUUUUGGGUGCAUUGGCUAGGUUUGCCGAGGGUUGAAUAGAGGCGGCGAAUAGGUCUAAGUGGCGACGCUAUCUCAUUGAGUUAGUGUAUAAGUCCAUGGUUGCCUAUGCGUUUUUGCGUUAGUUCUCGGAGAAGCUGUAGGCUUCUAUCUCAAGGUUUUGAGGACGGGCUUCGGAUAGAUAUGCUCGUGGCAACUACGAUGAGGAUUCCAGUUCUUCGGUCCUGUGGCAACCACGCAAAUUUCUGAGCUUCGCGGGCUCGGAAUCGGUGUUUCUCCUCGUGAUUUGGCCUUAUGCGCUUUUUAGUAAUCCGAAGCAAUUUGAGUAGUAAUGUUGUUUUUAUUCUGUAGGCUGCUUUUUUCCGUUCCUAGUGUUCCCUGUAAUUUCUGUCAAAAAUAAAAAAUGAUAUAAAAUUUAACCUUUUCCCCAAAAAAAAAAAAAAAAAAAAAAAAAAAAAAAGACGUUAAACAAUGCAGCAUAAACUGACAAAAGAAGGCAUCAAUCAACGACAUAACAAAAUUGUCCGCUUGUCAUUGAAAAGAUGGCAAUCAUAAUAUUUUUUGUUUUGUUUUCGAUGUUGGUAUAUUGAUAGUAAUUUUAAAUUAUUUUCUUAAAUAAUAACUUAAUAAGUAUAAUAUUUUCAAACAAUUUAAUAUACAAAUCAAUAAAAUAUAAAUAUUUUUAUAUUCAGUUGUUUAAGACGUUCAUGUUUUUCUUAUUGGGGAAACAAGAAACAAACUGUUGUCCAAUGAGUGACAUUAACAAUCGCCUUUCAAAGUUUUGCUACAAGAAGAAAAAUAGAUAGAAACGAAUCUAUCUAGCUCAUUGUGGAGCUACAGCUUUCCUCACCAUUGACUUUAUGAUCCCGCAUUGUAGUUGCACCACAGUUUUGGCAUCAUAAUUUUAGAAACCUUCUUCUUCUCAAGAGACUCAACUUCACCUUGUUCAACAUCAUCUCUCCUUGUGUUUGCUUCCCAAGAACCAGUUUCAUAAACUAAACUAAAACCGCACUUCAAUACCUCACAAUUCUUAACCUCACCAAUAUCAUCUGUCACUUGAAAUUUAAUUGAAGCCUUAGUAGGAAAACAACCCUUCUUACCAUCAUCUUCUUGACAUUUCUUGAUAUUCAACCAAUUGGUGUAGCCAAUGAACACAUGAGUAGAUUUGAUCGUGCGAUGCUCAUUCCCUGUCUCGGAUAAACCUCCAACGGGAGAAUUAAAGUAGCUAGAGGAUGUCCUUACAUUAUUGAAGUCACAUAUGCAUUUCACUUGGAGGUUGUUGUUCCGAAUUUUUUGUUCUUCAAACGAGACAAUAGCGCAUAGAGCUAUCCCAACAAAACCAUUUUCACUCCAAUGUCGAGGCAGCUCAGGCUCCAAAACUGCUCCAGAAGAUUUAUGACCAAACCAAUCCGGAACUUCACUUCCAGGAAAGCAAGUGGCAACCAAAGCUUCAAAACAAAGACCCUGAAAAGUAGACCGAAUAGACUUAGCAGAAUUUUAAACUUUAGACUUGCAAGAUUGACUGGACCUCCCAAACCUUGAGAAACUAUGGACCAAGUCCCAGAAUAUUUUGGUUAUAAAAAAUAAGGAGUAAAACUCUAGCAAAAAGAAAUACCUUAUUGUGUCGAUUCAAUGUUUUUGACAGGAGCCGGCCCUUAUUGUGACCAUAGCAUGUGAUUUCAUUCUUUGCGGCGUGCUCUAGUUUUUGACAGUUAGUGAAAAUGAAUGAGGAGGGCACUUGCUCUGUUGCCAAAGGACGUGCUAGCGGACUCGCUACUGUUUUAAGUGAGGUACAAUCAUGCGCAUCUAAGCAUUGAAGAUUUGGUGGUAACAUCGAAAUAGAUUGCAGUUUCGUGCAAUACUUCAAGUCGAUCCAUUUCAAAUGAUAGAGAUCACUAAUACUAGAUUGCAGGCUGAUGAUCAUUUCAUUUCUGCUUAAGCAUAGCCGUCGCAACAAGGAUAGGCCACUCAUACUGGGUGACCGUUGGAGAUUCAUUUGGUCUACCGAGUUAGCACAGCGUAAUAAUAUCUUUGGCAAGUCCCUUAUUUUCGUCCCAUCUAGCAAUAAAAUCUGAAGAUUUUCCAUGUUAUCCUUAAUUUCAGGGAAACUCCUAAGCCUUGAACAGCCAGAGAGUAUUAGUUCUUCAAGAGCCUUCAGCUUGCCGAGACAAUCUGGAAGAGUAUCCAGCAUUUUGCAGUCUUUUAGAUUCAAUACGAUAAGUCUUUGGAGCUCCACGAUCGUCUGGGGAAGGUCCGUGAUUUCGGUGCCAUCUAAAUGUAGAUAUUCAAGAUUUUUAGAUUUCACCUGAAAGUCUUCAAAGCUUGUGCAGCCACUGAGGAUGAGAGUCUUAAGACAGUCAAAAUUCUCCAUCUCUGGAAGAAACGAGAGACUUGUGCAUCCUCUGAGAUUCAAGAAAGCAAGACUCUUCAUAUUUCCUUCAUCUUUUGGAAAUAGUUCAAGAUUAGUGCAACCUUCAAGAUUUAAUCUUUCAAGAGAUUCAGCUUUCCACAAAGCUGACAGGUCGAUCAACUUUGUCGAGUGACUUAAAUCAACCCACUUCAAAUUUGGUGUAUCCUGUGAUGACAAGCACUCAGAAAACAACCACCAAUCAGCUACACUUAAUAGGUUACUUUAGCCAUAUAUUCAAAAUAAGCAGUGAUCAAGAAGAGGACACACCUUCACAUCAUCCCAAACUCGUUCAAUCUUACUGUAUGGCAGCCUGAGAUCAACAAGAUUCUCCGGGUUGAAGUCUGGUGGAAGUUCCAUCGAUGGAAAUUUCAGCCAGUGGAAAUAUCGAAUAUUUUUCAAACACAAUUCAAGUUCAUCGGGCACGUAUACUUUGCAUUCAACAGCUUCAACAACUUUACAUUGCCGAGGACAGCUAGAGUCAAAGAUUUUGAGAUAUCGCAGGUUCGGCAUCAAGGUCAACUUGUUUGUGGCUAUGGCUAUUUCUUCUUUUAGUUUCGACACGUCGAGUAGGAUACCUCUCACAGUAAUAUCUUCGUUUUCCUGUUAACAUGUUAAAACACACAAUAAGUUAGGAAAGUACAUAGCAGAAUGUGAAAUUAACUAGGAAAGACUUGUCAUCAACAUCACGCAAUCUUUUAUAUCAGAGAAGAACAAGAAUCAGUGAAUAGGAUUAAGAUUUAUUUGGUAAAAAACUUAGGUUUAGCAGUUUUGAUUUAUAUUUUUCUAGUCCUUUCCAAAAUUGUUUCUCGGGUGAUAUCAAAAUACGAGCUCUGUGUUUUUGGUGGAAAAAUAUGGAAUCACUAGAAUGUUAAUUGAUGUGGGUGAUCAAUGUCUUUUACUUUCCAUCUAAGAAGCCUUUGAUUUAUUCUAUAAUGAUGUCAUGAAAGCAUAAAUUGAUGAUUCUUACCUCUUUACCGGCCAAAGCUUUAGAUACUGCAUUAUGAUCCCACAGCCUGCUCUUUCUCAGAUUGUCUGCAGAUGCAAAUAAACCAAGUUCUUUGCCCAAUGAACACAGUAUAUCAGGCAUCUCGAUUUGUCCAGCAGAGACACUUAUCAUGAACUUGUGGGCGAGAUCUCCAAUAACCCCUGCAGCUUCAUCAGACUCAUGCGACACUUCGGAAGCUAGUAAAUUUUUUAAACAAUCCUCAUCUUCUGAUCUAAAAAAACAAGCAAUGUCAAGAAACGCAUCUUUUUGUUGAUCAGUCAGUUUGUCAUAACUGAUUUUUAACUCUCUUUUGAUAUUCUCGUUGCAACAAUGCGGCAGUGUUUCUAUUCUUGUUUCCCAAAGAGUCUCGUUUUUACCACAAAGCUCCUUCCCUAACUCCACCAGGGCUAGUGGAUUGCCUCCAGCAUAAUCCACAAACUUUUUGGACAGCUUAGUGAUGUUCUGCGUGGGAGUGUAGUCUUGGUUGUGGAAGGCAUGGUAGUGAAAGAGUUGUAAUGCUUCCUUUUCGUUCAAUCCGGGGACCACGUAAGUAUCGUGGACCACUUCUCCGAUCCAUGACUUGUCGCGCGUUGUAAUCACAAUCUUGCUUCCCUUCUUUACCCGGUGGAGAUUAUCGAGUAGAGACUGUAUUUGUGUCUUCUCGCUCACAUCAUCCAGAAAGAUGAAACUUUUUCUUUUGAAGAUUUUAUCAUCAUCUUUAAUCACCCAAUCCGACCCUUCCUCAUUCUUCGACCUCUCAUGAAUACCGAGAAGCAUCUUGUCUAUAGCUAACCUCUUUUUCCACUUAUCGAAAUGCUUUUGUGCGAGAAUGGUUUUACCAAUCCCGGUCAUUCCAACAAUUCCAAAAAUUUGAGUAACGGCAGGAUCAAAACCAAACCUCUCUUCCAAUUGCUCAAGUCGUUGCUCGUAAGGGGGAAGAGAUGCUAUACAUGUAAGGGGUCUGAUAGGUACAGAGGAAGAGGACCCUUCUCUUCCUCUGUAUUCUGAUAUAAGUAUAGCUUCCACUUCCUUGACACGCUCGAUGAGCUUGGCGAGGAAAUCAGCUUCGGAACUGAAAUACAAAUGAGGAAUAAAAAAAAAUCAAUGGAACUCUUGGAUUAGGAAAUAGUGAGAUGAUCAAACAAAAACUGAGUCCUGAGACGUGACCUUUGUUCCUGGAAUACCAAACCCAUGUUUGAGGGAAUAGCCUCUAAAGCGUCUUCCCAUUGCGGCAUUCUGGGUCUCCUACGGCGACCUUCUCCAUAUAACGCAACACCGAACUCUUUCUUUUGCCCUCUCACGUCCUCAGGCUUCACUUUGAAGAAGAUGGGUAUGACUCUGAGUGUAUCGUUCUCCAUGUUCUUCAUUAUUUCAACCAGCUCGUCCAAGCACCACUCUGACUCUGGGUACCGAUUCGAGAAGAACACCAGUGCGAUUCUCGAUUCCCUGAUCCUCUGGAAAAGGAUCCCAAGAUUUUCGCCCCGGGGCUCUAUUUCGUCGAUAUAGUACCUGAUAUUAUUCGCCAUGAAGGCCUUCUUCAAAUGGUCUAUGAAGCCGUAGCGAAGAUCAGCCCCCCGGAAACUGAGGAACACUUGAGGCUGCCAGUCAGAGAGUAGGUUGUCCUUGGAAGCAGCCUUGGUGGUGAUAAUCGCCAUCGGAGAGUUUUGAUCGGUCAACGUCGAUAAGCUUAUACCAAAUGCUUACUACUCACCGGGUCACCAACUAAUUUCAAUUGAAUAUUAAAAUCAAACCAUGGUAAGAUCUAUUCAACUAUGGUCAGAUUUAGACUUGAUGGAAAAAAAAAGACUUGCUUAUCAUCUUUCACCUAUAAAUAAUCCCAACUCUUAUCAUUAUACUCUUAUUUUACUAAAAAAAGUUUAUCAAUAUUGAUUAAUCACCGCUCGAUAAUGACUGAAACUUUAUUUUUUGUUGUAAUUUAGUUGUUUGCUACCUAAACUCUUAUUAAUUUAAUAAUUUUACCUUGAGUAUUUCUCAUUAUUACGUUUUGUUGUUCGUAUAUGACUUUUAUUUUUUGACGUCUAGAUUUAUUAUUUAUUGCAAAUUAUGAGAACUGUUACAUAGACGAUUCUACAACGGACAAUUCCUUCCGACUCUUAUUAGAUCCACGCAUACGACACUUCCUUCUUCAUGCUUUUGAUGGACACCUUCAAUGAUCUACGACCUGACGACACUUCCAUCUCUGCGUAGAAUCUUGGCGAACGGCUAUAAUUGUACAUCGCUGGAGAUCUCCUACACACUUGCCUCCAUUAAUCUGCAAAUUGGUAAAUAAAUCGCAGUAUCUAGGACUCGAACCCCACACUUCUUGGUGUAGAAGCAUUAAUUAACCCUUAGUCAACCAAUGGGAUAAGGGGGCUUCCACUGUGUUCAUAUAUGACUUAUCAUAUGACUUUUUCUCUUUUUAUUUUUGUGUCUUGUAGUAAGUUGGUAACAUUGACAUGUAAAUUUUUUCAAGUGAUGAGCAUUUGAGACGUUAGACAUACUAAAUAAUUUAAGAUACGACUUUCCUGGCUAUAUGCAAUGUUGUCAGGCCCAGCCCAUAGGACAGGCAAGUGAAGCCACUGAUUCGGGCCUCAAAUUUUGAGGGCCUUUUCAGAUAAAUUUUUUUUAAGUUUUUUCAUAUAUGUUUAUACUAUGGAUUUUUGUGUAGGGCCUUUUUAGAUAAAUAUUGUGGGCUUUUUCAUAUACAAGUAAAACAACUAAAGGCUUAAGUAAAAGAAAUUAUAAACUCUAGAGAAAAGAAAAAAAAAAAAACAACCCUACACUUGUUAAAGUUACUUUAUAAUAUUUUUCUUAGUUUUCUUUAGUUUUUUAAUUUUCUUUUUGACUUCUCUGUUUUUUUUUUGUAAUUGUUUCACAGUUUUAGUUCAUAGCUUUUGCUGGUUAUGUGUUUAAUUUUGUUUUUCUUUUGCUUGUUUCAAUUCGUAGAAAAAUGUCACCACUAGAAGUGUGAUAUGAACAAGGCAUGUUUUUUAGGAAUUGCGUAGGGCACUCAUAUAUGCCGGACCGACACUGAAUGUUGUUCAUAUAUGAUUUAUCAUAUGACUAUCUCUCUUUUUAUUUUUGUGUCUUAUGGUAAGUUGAUAACAUUGACAUGCAAGUUUUUUUAAAUGAUGGACCUCUAAGACGUUAGACAUACCAAAGAAUUCAAGACACGACUUUUCUCUUAUAUGGCUAUAUGCAAUGGUAGAAGAUCUAAAAGUGUUGACUUAAACGACAUUUUAGUUUUUACUUUCUUUUUCUUAUUUUCAUUUGAAAACUCUUAAAAUCUUGUUUAAUUUAUGUCUAUCGAGUAUCUAAUAAUGAGUUUAUCACAAUGUGGUUGGAGUACUAGAUUAGAAGAGUACACAAAACAAGAAAUUGUAUUUAUAAUCAAGUUAGGAAUUUCACAUCACACAAAUAAAUUACAUAUAAUUGUAUAAAAAUAUAUUAUAUUCUUGUUGUAUGUAUUCAUGAUGGUGAAAAAAUAUUAGAAUCUUAGAAAUAUAAAUAAUCAGAUUUAUACAUGAAAAUGUAUAAAUCGAUAUUUCAAGUCAAAAAUAAAUCUAAUCAUAAAAAUUGUAACUACAUAAGAUAAAUUUAAUUUUAUUAACUAUACAAUAAGAAAUAAAAAAAGUAAACAAAAAUUAACAAUAAGAACAAUCAACAUAAUUUGUUCUUAAUAAUUUUUAAAACAAAUCCACGCUACACGUGGGUAUUAAUCUAGUCAUAUGUGAUUGAUCCUUAAUAAAGUGCUCUAAAGAAAGUAAAAAUAAUAACAUAACUAAGGUACGAUUAACCAAAUGCAUGGAGUUUAAUUCUUAGGUUCCCAUUAGUGACGAUAAAAACAAAAAUAAGAAUUGGAAAAGAAAACAAAUGGAAAGUGAACAAAAAGGAAAGGAAAAAUGACUAAAAUGAAGAACAAAGAAGAACUUAUGUAGAUGAAGAAAUGAACAAACGGUUAUAGUAAAUGGUAAUUGUUGUGAACUGAUCAUCUCAUUAAUUGAAUAAGAGAUAUAUAUAUAUACAAGAGUAAUAGAGGGAUACAGAGAAUAAGGUAAAACCCUAAUGGGCCAUGAGCCGGUUAUGGAGUCCAUCCAUAUGGUUUAUAACACUCCCCCUUGGAAGACAUAACCGUGCCCUAUACUAAACCGGGAUCUCUAUAAUGCGCUGGGGAAUGUUGCCUCAUUAAGACCUUACCAGGAAAACCCAGUGGGACAAAACCAUGGUGAAGGAAAAAGAGUACAACACGCAUUACUCCCCCUGAUUUGAGCAUCACUGUAGAUCCUUAAGUCUGCGCAUCCCGAUCUGAUGAAUGAGCUUCCGGAACGUUGAAGUCGGCAAUGAUUUAGUGAAUAGGUCAGCUGAAUUCUCACUUGACCGGAUCUGUUGAACUUUGACCUGACCGUCCUUCUGUAAUUAAUGAGUGAAGAAGAACUUGGGCAGAAUAUGCUUCGUUCGAUCCCCUUUGAUAUAGCCAUCCUUUAGUUGGGCAAUGCAAGCCGCGUUAUCUUCAAACAUAACCGUGGGCUCCUUAUCUUCUUUCAUACCACAAUCUGAUCGGAUGUGCUGAGUCAUGGACCGCAACCAAACACACUCUCUACUGGCUUCGUGAAUGGCUAAAAUUUCCGCAUGGUUAGAUGAGGUUGCAGCGAUUGUCUGCUUCAUAGAUCUCCACGAGAUAGUUGUCCCUCCAUGCGUGAAAACAUAACCAGUCUGUGACCUACCACAGUGCGGAUCCGAUAGAUAUCCUGCAUCAGCAAAACCAACUAACCCAUCCUUGUUGUGGUUAGUGUAAAACAAUCCUAAGUCCUUAGUUCCUUGUAAGUAUCUUAGAACGUGUUUGACACCGUUCCAGUGCCUUUUAGUUGGACAUGAACUAAAACGAGCUAGGAGACUCACGGCAAAACAUAUGUCUGGUCUAGUGUGACUAGCCAAGUACAUUAAUGCUCCUAUGGCACUGAGGUAUGGCAUUUCAAGACCGAGAACUUGUUCAUCGUCCUUCUUUGGACCGAAUGGAUCACUGUCCAAUCCGAGGCUUCUCACAACCAUUGGGCUGGUCAAUGGGUGGGUCUGGUCCAUAUUGAAUCUCUUGAGUACUUUUCCAAUAUAUGCCGAUUGGUGCACAAGGAUUCCAUCAUUCACAUACUCAUGUUGUAGCCCCAAACAGAAUUUAGUUUUGCCUAGGUCUUUCAUUUCAAAUUCGGCUUUUAAGCAUUCUACUGUUUGGGCGAUUUCACCAGAUGUUCCGAGGAUGUUUAAAUCAUCCACGUAUACUGCUAUAUAUGAUCACAAAUCCUUUGUUUGCAAACUUCUUGAUAAAAAUACAUGGACAGAUCGUAUCGUUUUUAUAGCCUUCUCGGAUGAGAUAUUCGCUUAACCGGUUAUACCACAUACGUCCGCUUUGUUUCAGUCCAUAUAAGGAUUUGUUCAGCCUAAUGCAGUGCUGAUCUCGAGAUUCUCUCUUAUCCUUAAGUUCAAUACCAUCUGGUAAUCUCAUAUAAAUCUCAUUAUCCAGUGGUCCAUAAAGAUAGGCGGUUACAACAUCCAUUAACCGCAAAUCUAAAUUUUCUUUUAUGGCCAGACUUAUCAGGAAUCGAAAUGUUGUUGCAUCCACCACAGGAGAAUAAGUCUCUUCAUAAUCGAUUCCAGGUCUUUGUGAGAAUCCUUGUGCUACAAGCCGUGCUUUGUAUCUAACAACUUCACCGAGUGCAUUUCUCUUACGCACAAAGACCCAUUUGUGGCCCACUGGUUUAAUAUUUAAUGGUGUCUUUAAGAUCGGACCAAACACAUUCCUUUUCUUUAAUGAAUUCAACUCCACGUUUAUGGCUUCUUUCCAUUUUAGCCAAUCUGAUCUUUGAGUGCACUCUAAUAUAGACGUGGGUUCAUUAUCCUCAUUCAUUUCAAGUGCUACCUUAUAUGCAAAUAUUUCAUCGAUGUCGACAUCUUUUCGGUUCCAUUGUAUUCCAGACAUGAUAUAAUUGAUUGAGAUCUCAUUGUUAUUAAUCCCUUCGGAACCUUGAGAUUUGGCGUCCCAAACCUCUUGGACCGGUUCACUAGGGUUAAUCUUAGCCGCGGCUAUAUCUGCUAUUUGAGGAAUCCCGCUUUCAACCGUUGCACCUUUCUUUGGUUUCCGGGGAUUCUUAUCUUUGGAACCUAAUGGUCUGCCACGUUUGUUACGUGCUGCAGAUUCUGUAGCAACUUGAGUUUGUCCCUUUUGGACAUCUAUUCGUAUUGGUGCAUUACAAGCUGGUAUGUACGAUUUGGUUACUCUAUUCGGGUCAUCAAAGGAAUCUGGCAAUUGAUUAGCUAGCUUUUGUGAAUGUAUAAUCUUAUGGACCUCUGAUUCAUAUUCUAGAGUCCGAGGAUCUUGCCAUUGUAAGGAUGUUUGAUUCCAUGAAAUUUCUUUAACCAGCUUGUUGGUCUCUCCACCUAAUAUAGGAUAUACCGAUUCAUCAAAUUGGCAAUCUGCAAAUCUGGCCUUAAAGAGGUCUCCUGUGGUCGGCUCAAGAUAUUUGAUAAUGGUGGGAGAAUCAAAUCCAACAUAUAUUCCCAUCCUCCUUUGAGGUCCAAUCUUAGUUCUCUGUGGUGGUGCAAUGGGUACAUAGACUGAACACCCAAAUGUCUUAAGAUGGGAAACGUCUGGCUCAUGACCCGUUAGCAAUUGGGAUGGGGAAUAUCUAUGCUCACUAGAUGGCCGAAUGCAUAUUAGUUCAGCAGCGUGUAAAACUGCAUGUCCCCAAGCUGAGACCGGAAGCUGCGACCUCAUGAGUAAUGGUCGAGCAAUUAGUUGAAUUCGUUUAAUGAGGGAUUCAGCUAAUCCGUUCUGUGUAUGGACAUGUGCCACAAGAUGUUCCACACUUACCCCCAUGGCCAUACAAUAGUCAUUAAACGCUUGGGAAGUGAAUUCACCAGCAUUAUCUAAACAUAUGGUCUUAAGAGGAAAAUUUGGAAAAUGGGCUCGCAAUCUGAUGAUUUGGGCCAAUAACCUAGCAAACGCUUGGUUCCUAGAAGACAAUAGGCAAACAUGCGACCAGCGGGUUGAUGCAUCGAUUAAAACCAUGAAGUACCGAAAUGUUCCACAAGGUGGAUGGAUCGGACCACAUAUGUCUCCUUGAAUUCGUUCCAGAAAAUGUAAGGUCUCUUUAGACACUUUGACUGGUAAAGGUCGAGUGAUAAGCUUCCCUUGUGAACAGGCUAUGCACGUGUGGUGCUUAGGGAAGACUCGGUUUUCUUUAAGGGUGUGCCCUUUAGAACUUUGAAUUAAUUUACGCAUCAUAUUCGAACCGGGAUGACCAAGCCGGUCGUGCCAAAUAGUGUAAUCUUUAAACCGUGCUUCAAUAGCAACAUUAGCCUCAAUCAUACUGAACUUAGCAUAGUAAAGGCCAGUGGAUAAUGCGGGUAUAGUCUCAAGCACUUGUUUAUGGCCGUGUGUAAUUUUAGUAAUCAAUAGGGAUUCUUUGUUCCCCUCACCCUGAGUUUCAAUGUGGAAACCAUUUUGCCUUAUAUCUUUGAAACUCAAUAGAUUUCUCUUAGAACUGGGUGAGUAUAGAGCAUCUAGUAUUUCUAGAUGUGUGCCCUGAGAUAACAACACAUGGGCUUGGCCAUGGCCUUCUAUUAGGCUCGAUGUACCCGCUAUUGUGCUAAUGUUUGCGGUUUUUAAUGUGAGAUUUAUGAAGUAACUCUUGUCUUUCAAUAUGGUGUGGCUGGAUCCACUAUCCACCACAAUGAUAUUCUUGUUUUCGUUCAUAACUUCAACUGACAAGAGGUGUGACUUAGAUAAGUAUAUAAAGCAAAAACCAUUGCAUUGAUAAUAAAUGAAACAUAACGAGUUCAUCAAAAAUAAAUGAAACAUAACCAAUUGAAAUCUUCAAGUCUUAAAAUAAAUCAAAAACAAAAGCCAAAUCCAUCAAAACAAAGCAAGUAUCCAGAUGUCGAAUUUAAUUAUCUCCUUUCAGGAGGUCCAAGGUCUCGAAAUCCAUGAGAUCGUCAUUUUCAUGGUUGAAGUCACCUUCAUCAUCGUGGUGGACCAUAUUAGCUUCGGGAUUCACUUUCCCAUGUUUUUGAUAGAGAUCACAAAGGAACUUAGGAGUGCGACACGUCUUCGUCCAAUGAUUUGUCAUUCCACAUCGGAGGCAAGGUGAUUGAUUGGUCGAGCGGGUUGAGUGAGAUGGUUUGGAGAUCCCGCGACCUCUACCACGACCAUAACUGAGGUUAGGUCAGUUGCCUCGGCCUGAAUUACCGUGGAAAUUUCCACGGCCAUUGCCACGUCGACCACGUCCAUUUACACGACCAUGGCCGGAGUUUCUGUCAUGUUGGGCAUAGUUGGAUUCCUUUGUGUCUUUCAUGGCUCCUUCAACUCGAUGGGCCUCUGGUAUCGGUGCUAAUCCCGGGGGUCUUUGAGCACUGUUCCUCAUUAGUAACUCAUUAUUCUUCUCGGCAAGAAGUAAACAAGAGAUCAAAUCCUCAUAUUUCGUGAAUUUCAUUGCACAGUAUUGUUGCUGAAGCAUGAUGUCUCUGUAUUUUGCCACUUUUAAGCACACUUUUCUCGUACAUUUAGCUAAGUUUCAUCUUUCUUUCAUUGCAUCCAGAGUCCUUUUCAUAACAUUUUCAUCACUUAGUACGAUUUGCAUUGCAUGGCAUAGCAUAUUGCAUAUUGGAUAUGUUUCAGGUAUUUGGAGCUUAUUUGGGACUUAAUGGAUGCAAAGAAGAGAAUUGAUGAUUCAGAGCCAGUCUGAAGUCCCUCAAAGAUCGACUCAGAUGGAAGUCUUUCAUUGCGAUUUAGCUUCAGAGCUCUUCAUACAAGUUAUAGGAAAUUGAGUUACCUUUCCAACGGAGGUGAUAUCAAGCGAAUCAGAGCUUUGAUGCAGGAAUUAUGGUGGUUUUAAUGGAGACAUAUGCAGAAAACUGGUUGGACUCGACAGGAGGUCGAGCAGGCGCUCAGAAACCACCAAGGGUUGGACUCGACCACACCAACUCGACGUGAGGUCGAGUAGGACACCAUCAAGGAGCACCCUUUGAAGAAUCACUCCCCCUCGACCACAUGGACUCGACGACACGUCGAGUAGGACGUCAGGAAGCUGUCUGGACACGGACUCGACCACGCAGGCUCGACGUCACGUCGAGUUGGUCUCUGCCGACUCUCUAUUUUGUCUUGUAGCUAAUUAGGGCAACCUAGUAUUCCUAUAAAUAGGGGUACACGCUUUUAUCCAGAGGAUAUUUCUUUUACCCAGCAGAUAUUCCGCUGUUCUCUCAUAAACCCUAGUUUUUGUAAUCGUUUUUCCUGUUGAUCUUUUGAGUUUUUGCAUUUCUUUUCUUCAUCAAAGUUGUAGAUCUGUCUCUUAUCUAUAACAUACUUGCUUUUCAAUGAUUUCUGGGUUUGAAACGUUUUCUGGGUUUUUAUGCAUGAUGUUCUUUAGUGUUCUUGAGUAGUGGAUUAGGGUUCUUGAGGAUGAGUUAGAUUAGGUGUGGAAUCCUUAGUAUAUUUAGGUGGUUAAGUGUAGGAUUGCUUGAUUUCCCUUCUGGUUUAGUAGAUCUUAAUGCUAUUUUCUCUCUGAUCAAUUGGAAGUUGAUCUCAGAUAUUUCCACACCCAAAAGGUGUUUGAUGAAAUGUCUGAACCAACCAUUCCAGAGAUUUGCAUACUCUAGCCCAAGAGAUUGGAUGUUUAGAAUGCUUAUUGACUUUAUUAGAUUGAAUCUUAAUGUCUGCUAGGUUAUAUUUCUUCAAUGAGAAUUGAGUAUGAAAGUGAUUUAGCUUGAGAAUCUCUGUCACGAGAGUGGAUUGAUUUGUAUUCGAAUCUAUUGUCUAGGGAUAACUUGAUUGAGUUUGUUAACCACCUAGGUAGACUAAGGAGACUGCCUUAAUCGAUUACCCCAUUCCUCAGGACCUUUUAUCUCUAUUGAUUGUUUAAAUCUUGUUUCUGUUAGUUUGUGUUCUACUCGACCUGUUAGGCUUAGAUCGUCUCUCUGCUUUGUUAGGUUGAUAGUUUCUUUUCCAAAGCUUACGCAUGAUAGUUUCUGGUCUUUAGUUUACUUCUUGCUCUUGUUUACUUGCUGUUUAGUUCUCUUUUUAUGCUUUUAAAUUCGGUAUUUGCAUGUUAAAUUGGUUGCUUAGGUUGAAUAGAAACACACAAAACCUUUUCACAAUUGGCUUGACUUAUUUGCUUUCUGUUUCAUAUCUUGAAUGCUUGCAGUCACACUGAGAUUGGAUUGAUAACCUAAUAUACUACAAUGGCAUGUGUAUUAGGGAUUGAUACUUGUUAGAUAGAGCAAAAUCUAUUAUCAAAGCACAAUGUUUUGAGUGUGAAAGGUUGACAAUGUCUUUUCAAGUAGAUCAUUAUCAGACACUUCAUCGCCACAAAGUUUCAUGAGUGAAACGAUCCGAAACAACUCGGAGUUGUAGGCGUCUACGGAUUUGAAAUCUAGAAACCUUAAGUUUUUCCAAUCGAACUUGGCUUGGGGCAACAACACCGUUUUCUGGUGGUCAUACCUCUUUUUCAAUGCCACCAAAAGUUCAAGUGGAUUCUUAAGCGUGAGAUAUUGAUUCUUAAGGUUGUCGACUAGGUGAUGGCGUAUAUGAAAAAUUGCCUGAAACUAAUCUUUUGUAGAUGCGGUAUUGCCAUCAAUGAUGCAUUCACCUAGCCCCUUUGAGUUUAGGAAUAUUUUAGUAUCAAGGGCCCACUGGAGAUAGUUAUCUCCCGAGACAUUGAGUGCCUCAAAUUCGACCUUCUGGAUGUUCGACAGUUGAAUCACACAAGCAAACAUGUAAUUUC